GAGCAGUGGUUAAGGUUAGGGCUUAGGGAACAUGGAGCAGUGGUUAAGGUUAGGGCUUAGGGAGCAUGGAGCAGUGGUUAAGGUCAGGGCUUAGGGAACAUGGAGCAGUGGUUAAGGUUAGGGCUUAGGGAACAUGGAGCAGUGGUUAAGGUUAGGGCUUAGGGAACAUGGAGCAGUGGUUAAGGUUAGGGCUUAGGGAACAUGGAGCAGUGGUUAAGGUUAGGGCUUAGGGAACAUGGAGCAGUGGUUAAGGUUAGGGCUUAGGGAACAUGGAGCAGUGGUUAAGGUUAGGGCUUAGUAAACAUGGAGCAGUGGUUAAGGUUAGGGCUUAGUAAACAUGGAGCAGUGGUUAAGGUCAGGGCUUAGGGAACAUGGAGCAGUGGUUAAGGUUAGGGCUUAGGGAACAUGGAGCAGUGGUUAAGGUUAGGGCUUAGGGAACAUGGAGCAGUGGUUAAGGUUAGGGCUUAGGGAACAUGGAGCAGUGGUUAAGGUUAGGGCUUAGGGAACAUGGAGCAGUGGUUAAGGUUAGGGCUUAGGGAACAUGGAGCAGUGGUUAAGGUUAGGGCUUAGGGAACAUGGAGCAGUGGUUAAGGUUAGGGCUUAGUAAACAUGGAGCAGUGGUUAAGGUUAGGGCUUAGGGAACAUGGAGCAGUGGUUAAGGUUAGGGCUUAGGGAACAUGGAGCAGUGGUUAAGGUUAGGGCUUAGGGAACAUGGAGCAGUGGUUAAGGUUAGGGCUUAGGGAACAUGGAGCAGUGGUUAAGGUUAGGGCUUAGUAAACAUGGAGCAGUGGUUAAGGUCAGGGCUUAGGGAACAUGGAGCAGUGGUUAAGGUUAGGGCUUAGGGAACAUGGAGCAGUGGUUAAGGUUAGGGCUUAGGGAACAUGGAGCAGUGGUUAAGGUUAGGGCUUAGGGAACAUGGAGCAGUGGUUAAGGUCAGGGCUUAGGGAACAUGGAGCAGUGGUUAAGGUUAGGGCUUAGGGAACAUGGAGCAGUGGUUAAGGUUAGGGCUUAGGGAACAUGGAGCAGUGGUUAAGGUUAGGGCUUAGGGAACAUGGAGCAGUGGUUAAGGUCAGGGCUUAGUAAACAUGGAGCAGUGGUUAAGGUUAGGGCUUAGGGAACAUGGAGCAGUGGUUAAGGUCAGGGCUUAGGGAACAUGGAGCAGUGGUUAAGGUUAGGGCUUAGGGAACAUGGAGCAGUGGUUAAGGUUAGGGCUUAGGGAACAUGGAGCAGUGGUUAAGGUUAGGGCUUAGGGAACAUGGAGCAGUGGUUAAGGUUAGGGCUUAGGGAACAUGGAGCAGUGGUUAAGGUCAGGGCUUAGUAAACAUGGAGCAGUGGUUAAGGUCAGGGCUUAGUAAACAUGGAGCAGUGGUUAAGGUUAGGGCUUAGGGAACAUGGAGCAGUGGUUAAGGUUAGGGCUUAGGGAGCAUGGAGCAGUGGUUAAGGUUAGGGCUUAGGGAACAUGGAGCAGUGGUUAAGGUUAGGGCUUAGAGAGCAUGGAGCAGUGGUUAAGGUUAGGGCUUAGGGAGCAUGGAGCAGGCAGUGGUGAUGCAGCAACGUUAACAUAAGAUGGUGGAAGGGGAGUCUCGACUGCAUCUGUUCCCUAAACAGUGCACUAAUUUUGACC